GACGGAGGAUGCAAGCGUUAUCCGGAAUUAUUGGGCGUAAAGCGUCCGCAGGUGGACAUACAAGUCUGCUGUCAAAGUGCAGAGCUUAACUCUGUAAAGGCGGUGGAAACUGUAGGUCUUGAGUAUGGUAGGGGUAGAGGGAAUUCCCGGUGUAGCGGUGAAAUGCGUAGAUAUCGGGAAGAACACCAGUGGCGAAAGCGCUCUACUGGGCCAUAACUGACACUCAGGGACGAAAGCUAGGGGAGCGAAUGGG
rnacentral:rRNA from 1 species